UUGGGAGGCCAAGGUGGGAGGACCAUUUGAACUCAGGAGUUUGAGAAAUUGUGCAGGAAAAAGAAAUUCGUGCUAGUUUUGCUGUCACACCUCAAACUUUGCCACAAGUAUGUAUGUGUAGAUAAAAACAUAUAGGGUUCGGUACUAUCCAGUCUAAGGGAUCCACCAGGAGAAUUAGAACCUAUCGCCCAUAGAUAAGUGGUGGAGGAAAUUACUGUACAGGAAAUUAGCCACUUUAAUAUAAUUACACUGACCGAUUUUAAGAUGUCACCUUCGUGUGGAAAUAAAAUGACAUUAUAUGUAAACAGCUUUUAACUGAAUAUAUUUUUUGCCUCUAUAGUAAGGAGAUCAGAUUAUAUUGUUAUGAUCUUCCUAUAAUCAAAUUUCUGAUGGGAAUGGUGAACUAACAUUUCUAAAAGGUCUUUUGGGUGAACUGAGUACUGCAAGGUUUCCAUAACAAUGCUUCUUUCUAGUCUUUUUAUUCCAAUAGAGUACGCAAAUCUGGACAGCUCCUUGGAGUUUCAAGGUUCAAGGAUGAAAAAUCUAGUUUAUGUGUUGUAUACAGCUAAUGUCAAGCCUACUACUUCACAUACCAUGUAACAAAAACUGAGCUAUAAACAAGGAAAUCAUACAAGCAAAACUACAUAUCAGAACCUACCACAAUAGCUAAAAAUCACAAUGCCCUCAAGAAAGCUACAUUAAUGUUGGUUUACUAAUAGAACAGCAAACUAGAUAGCUACUGGAGUAAUAAUCUCUGAAGGGCAAUAUUACCAAUGCCACUAUCACAAACUAUAAAUAAUCAAUUACUAGUGAAUUUCCAUUAUCAUUGCUUAGUGCAACAGGAAGUCACAAAAUUUAGAGGUGCAUGAUAAACAGAAUGGGAAGGCACUACAGGUAUCAGUAAAUAGCCCUCCUAAUACCUCAAACAGUGGAAAUACACUAUUGGCCCUCAAAAUCCUACCAGAGUACUCUUUUAAUUUAAAUAUAUGAAUAAAGGACACUUAACAAUUAUACAAUACACUAGUGAUUAUGAGAGGAAGUGUUGGAUAGUAAUACUAGAAAAAAAUUAGGGAACCAUUUCAGGUACGUGCAGUUCUGCCAAGGGCACAACCAUGUGGACAAAAUUCAUACUACACAUCUAUCGUAUCAAGUUACUUCACAAGACAGCACCAAAUCUAAUAAUUCAUAUGGAAAAUAGAGUUGACCAUCACUUCUACAGGGCCCUUAAUUUUAGAGGACUUUAAAAGGGCAUAACUGUAAUGAGACAACAGGGAACCAAAGAAUUACAGUACCAGUGUACAAUAAAAAAUUACAUUUUAAAACUUUGAAGGUCUCUACCAAUUUCAAUAUAUUUCUGGGCAAAUAGCACUGAGCCAUUAAACUGUAGUGCUAAUGGAACUGAUUUCCUAAACUCACAUGAACCUCCAACCAUCUAUAUCAGCAAAAUGCAACACUGCAUGGUACAAAUUAUGUACCACAGAACUUGUGAUUAGACAUCAACUGUCCAGAAUUCCACAACAAAUCUGGAAAGGCCCAAUAUAUUACAACCUAUGAAAACUGAACACUAUUAUCCUGGAGCUACUGGGAUUGAACAAAUGGCCAUAUGAGAACCAAGAGAAUCUGGCAAAUAUUUUUGACUAAAUUCACCUAUACUGUAUAUACUUUGUCAAAAGUCCUUAUAAAAACUAUUUUUGUCUGUAGGACAAGAAUGAUAUUUCUAUUAAUUAGGAGCAGAUACAGAUUCUUAACUUUGGACUCUAUGCCACCAGCUAAAGAGCGCUGCUGUGUAGACAAAUUUAGUACAAAACUUCCAGUUGAUUCAUUACCAAGUCCCUGAAGAAGCACCAAAUUAAAAAUUUUAAGAUUACAAAUGUGCUAGAUAAAUACAUGCUACCAUUACAGGGGAGGGAGUUCUAAAAUUACUUGCAAAUGACAAUGGUUAAGAAAUCAAAUUUGGUUAUGAAACAUUCAGGCUAAAGGAUCAAAGCAUAUAUACCUCUACACUUAAAGCAAAAAUGUUGGUUGCUUCAUCAAAUGUCUUUAUUAUUGAAUAAUUGAUUUCCAAUGUUGCUGAAGUGUUAUAUUAAGAGGAAUUUUCUUUUUUCAUAAAUUUAUCAAUUUAUAAAGGGCAACAUUGUGAGGGCAAAUAAAGCACUACUUAAGAUUCAGAGUAAUGAGUUAUUUGUGCAAAAUACAUCACAAAAUUUGGCAUUUAGACAUGCGAAAAAUAUGGGCAAUAAGAUACUACUUAACAUUGCCAAAAAUUCAUGACUCCCCUCGCCAACUCCCCACUCCCAAGAAAAAGUACAUAGGUACUAAACUUAUGGAAAUACAUUGCAUUGAAUAGUUCCUUUAAAACCUUUAUAAUUGGCUGGAAAGAACGGAGGAAUUCUAAUUGAACUAGAAAAUACACAAGAAAUGUGCAUGUAAUGUACUCUCUAAAGGGACAACAGAGUGGACAGUCAAGGAACUCCACAUAUUCAUAGUGUUAUUUGCAAGUUUCUAAGCAGCAUCCACAAAUAAAAAGUAGGUGGCUGAAGUUACAGGCUGAUGUUACACAUUAGUAACACAAUGUGAUCACACAAAUUUGGCAAAACAUAAGUAUUCAAGUUUGAGUUGAAUCAAUUUGACAAAGCAUAUGUCAAACAGAUGUCAGAUAGCAAAAGGCUACAUUAGGGACUACAGAUUUGCACGUUAGUUGUUCACCAUCUCAAAAACAAGUACCAAACCUUUAAUUUUAUUGAGUACAUUCACUGUACCAAAUAUCAAUUGGCACAGAAUGGAAAUAUCCCUACUAGGUAACAUGAGUUGGCAAAUGUAAUUAGACAUUGCACCAAAACCAACCCAAAACAAAACCCUAAACACAAUUCACCUAUCACUGUGUAUAUGAGAAAGCAUGAAUACUAUCUCCAAGAAGUCCUUAAGAUCCUGUAUUUUCCUCAGCUGAAAAAUCUUACUAAAAUUUUACUGUCUCAACAUUAGAAGACAGCACUGUACCUGUUAUUUCCAAAAGACAAGGCCAUGCAAAUACAUAUGAAAGAUUUCCAUUGUUUCCCAUUUUGUCCAGAGAAGCCAAAAUUGGAAUUUCAAUUAUACACAGAUCAAAAUAUCCCAUUUGCUGAGUUUAGCUGCUAAUUGGAUGUUAAAUCCAAUUUGAAAAACCAGGGCAGGUGCCGUGGCUGACCCCUGUAAUGUAGUCUUAGCACUUGAGGAGCCCAGGUGGUAAGAUAGCUUGCGCACAGGAGUUUGAGACCACCCCGGGCAACAUAGCAAGAAAACCUUGUCUCCACAUAAAAUUUAAAAAGUAACCAGUGAAGCUAGAAGAUAGAGUAGCACUACUUAAAAUGUUUAUCCUACUUCAGGACAGCAAUAAUCUGGGAAUGGAUGUUGACAAUGCAACUGCAAAGCAGCAUAUAUCAACAUGUAUAACAGGAGCAGAUGGACAAUUUAUUAUUUUUUAAGACAGAGUCUCGCUGUGUCGCCCAGGCUGGAGUGCAGUGGCAUGAUCUCGGCUCACUGCAACCUCUGCCUCCC
rnacentral:lncRNA from 10 species